rnacentral:rRNA from 1 species
UGCCAGCCGCCGCGGUAAUACGGAGGGUGCAAGCGUUGCUCGGAAUCACUGGGCGUAAAGCGCACGCAGGCGGGUCGUUAAGUCGGUUGUGAAAGCCCGGGGCUCAACCCCGGAACUGCAUCCGAAACUGGCGACCUUGAAUACGGGAGAGGAGAGCGGAAUUCCUGGUGUAGAGGUGAAAUUCGUAGAUAUCAGGAGGAACACCCGUGGCGAAAGCGGCUCUCUGGCCCGAUAUUGACGCUCAUGUGCGAAAGCGUGGGGAGCAAACAGGAUUAGAUA